GCAGGCGUGGCCGAGUGGUUAAGGCGUUGGAUUUGAAAUUCAUUGGGGUCUCCCCGCGCAGGUUGGAAUCCUGUCGGCUGCG